rnacentral:rRNA from 1 species
GUAGUCCACGCUGUAAACGAUGAAAACUAGAUGUUAGGCUCUAUAAGGGCUUAGUAUUGAAGCUAACGCGAUAAGUUUUCCGCCUGGGGAGUACGGCCGCAAGGCUAAAACUCAAAGGAAUUGACGGGGGCCCGCACAAGCGGUGGAGCAUGUGGUUUAAUUCGAUGCAACGCGAAGAACCUUACCUGGCCUUGACAUCUAGGGAAUCCUGUAGAGAUACGGGAGUGCCGAAAGGAACCCUAAGACAGGUGCUGCAUGGCUGUCGUCAGCUCGUGUUGUGAGAUGUUGGGUUAAGUCCCGUAACGAGCGCAACCCCUAUCCUUAGUUGCCAUCAUUUAGUUGGGCACUCUAAGGAGACUGCAGGUGAUAAACCUGA